rnacentral:tRNA from 1 species
GCAGGUGUGGUUCAGUGGGAGAAUUCUUGCCUCCCAUGCAGGAGAUCCUCUACUCCGCCAAGGACCGGACCGAUCUCUCCUGAUUACAUGUCCGAAACAUGUGAGAUGCAGUCUCGCCAUCUGUG